rnacentral:misc_RNA from 1 species
GAUGAAGAACGCAGUGAAAUGCGAUAAGUAAUGUGAAUUGCAGAAUUCAGUGAAUCAUCGAAUCUUUGAACGCACAUUGCGCCCCUUGGUAUUCCAUGGGGCAUGCCUGUUCGAGCGUCAUUUGUACCUUCAAGCUUUGCUUGGUGUUGGGUGUUUGUCUCGCCUUUGCGUGUAGACUCGCCUUAAAAUAAUUGGCAGCCGGCGUAUUGAUUUCGGAGCGCAGUACAUCUCGCGCUUUGCACUCAUAACGACAGCGUCCAAAAGUACAUUUUACACUCUUGACCUCGGAUCAGGUAGGGAUACCCGCUGAACUUAAGCAUAUCAAUAAGCGGAGGA